GAUAGCGAGUCCCUUAGGGCGCCGGCGCCUGGGUCAGCGGGACCCACUGACUGACAGAGGGAGGGAGACAGGGAAGGAGGGAGGUCCUAGCAGGACAAAGGGAGACUCCGCCGCCGCCGCAGCUGCCGCCGGAACUCUUGACGAAUCCCCGUGGAAGAGCGAUCCGGCCCUCCCCUUCCCGAUUCCGGAGAGUUCCUGCAGACCAGCGGGGCCCGCGGCGACUGCUCGCAGAAGUUCCUCCGCCGCCUCGGGUCGAGCCUCCAGCCUCCGCUACGGAGCUCGGGUCCUCCAGGAGGGCCGCCCGGGACGCGGCCGCCGCCGCGUACACUUGAAAACGGAGGACCGCUCGGUUCGGGUUCCCCGCCUCCGCCCGGCCCUGCAAACUUUUCUUCCUCGUACUCGGCUCUGGCACCGCGCGGCGGCCGGGCGGUCCUCUUUAGGGGAGGAGGCCGGGCGGCUCCGGAGAAGCCACUCGCAGCCAAGGCCAGAACCGCAAUCCGGCCGGGUCUCCGCGGUGGCUGUGUGCGCCCGAGGGCGGGGCCUGAGCCGAGCCACACACGCACACUUGUGGGUUCGUGCCGAGCCGAGAUGACUAAGGCUUGCCAGCUUUUGGAAAGGAGAGAAGUAGUUUAGAAAAACAGAUGUCCUCUAGAAACUAAACAACCCCCCUUCCUGUACCCUGCAGGCUCGGCCUGUUGCAGCAGCUGUGCAGAGCAGCCCGUGGCGGGGUUGGGAGACUGAGGUCUAACGGUCCUGAGAAAGGGCAUGACCCCCUCUCUCUGCCUCACCCCCAUUAUCACAAGCGCACUUGCUGCUCCGGUAUCUAAAGUAGACAACUUCCUCUUUUUUUUUUUUCCUUAAAUAAACCUACCUCAUUGUUUCNNNNNNNNNNNNNNNNNNNNNNNNNNNNNNNNNNNNNNNNNNNNNNNNNNNNNNNUGGGAAACUUCACGAAUGAACAGCUGUACCUCAAAACAUUGCAUCCCACUGACAUUCAUCUCAAGCUCCAGAUAUUGAGAAUUUCAUCUCGGAGCCAACUGGGUCACCCUUGCCAAACUUGCACAGGAGCAAAAGUUUGCAGGCAUUUUGGAUUCUCUGCUUACUCAUUCAUUCUGCACUCAACCUCUCCUCUCUGCCCCUACCGCAACCUGCCUCCCUGCCGGUGGAAACUGACUUUUAGAGCCUAACCAUCUGACCGGUAUGUUAGUCGCUCAGUUGU
ensembl:lncRNA